CAAGAACUUCAAAACCCUAGCCUUCCUUUUUCCCUGCGACGUCAGCCUCCUACCCCUACCUUGAAGUUCCUUGUCCCUGGCGACCAUAAAUUCCAUCAUCUAACUUGAUGAUCGUGUUUCUAGUGUCGAAAACGAAUGAUUCUUUUAAAACCCUAAAGCAUACCUUGGAUGAUCAAACAUGAGUGGAAGAAGAUGGAUUGAAGCAGAAGCACAUUUACAGAUUUAUGGAAAGAAUGAUUUCUUCACAAAUCACCUUGGAUUGACGAAGGAUUAUUGAACCAAGAUCAAGAUGAACGGCUUUGGUUUUAGGGUUGUGCAGAAUGUCGAUGAGUGUGAAAGAAGAAUAAGAAAAAUGAAAUAUAAAGGAUCCGUCAUGCUUGACUCAACUCAGAUUCCGACCCAAAUACUAAACGGAUCCCGCCUUCACAAUGGUUAGAACUCAUUCCCUCCUAAAAUCACAAUCUACUCCACCAUAACAUGCCACAUCAGCAAAAAACCUCCACCAUCACAUGCCACAUAGCCCAAAUCAUCUCAUUUAUUAAUAUAUAUAGAUGAUUCAAUGAUGAUGGAUGACGAUGGCAUGAAUGCCCUAAAUUGAUCCAACUUGAAACACGAAAAUAUUGGUAGUUGUUGUUUAUGAUUUUAUUAGAAUUGGGAAUUCACAUGGAUCAAAAGUAGUAACAGUUUGGUUUCUUAAUUGUUAUGAUAA